rnacentral:lncRNA from 1 species
GAGUGGGUAGAUAAUAAGGAAUUUCACAACUGGAGCCUCCCACAAACAGGAUGGGAAGUUGGGAUGAAUUGAAAGGAGGACAUUUGUGUGGGGGACAGGGGUCGGGGGAGGUGCCUCUGGAGUGUGUGAGUUCCACACUCUCUCACCUCAAGUGUGAGUCAUUGGGAGAGCUCAAUGGAACCCUCAAAACCACUGAGAUGCACCUAUCUUGAGAUUAGGCAACACUUUCCACAUCGCCUUCCAUAAAUGUUUGUAUAUUGACCGUGUCUAAAAAUUCAUAUCAUAUGGUUUCAACUAAAUGAAGCAUGCACAGUAAAAAUAUUUUAAGAAAUCAUAGCAAAACGAUUAUAAUGUGCUUGGAGUCUGGGGGAUUUUUAUUUUUGUCUUCAUUUACUUCCUUAUUUUCCAAAACAUGUACAUACAAGUUUUUAUAAUUAGAAAUCGUGUUUUUAAGUAUCUAAAUACAAAAACAACUCUACCAUACACCAUGAAUGCCAUGUAUGUACGCAUCUUUAAUACACAAACAUGUAAAAAAUAUUCAUAUGGCAAAAAAAACAACCCCGGACAGAACUUCUCCCCUCAAAAACGGUGAUGUUCUCCGGAUAGUGAUUUCUCCGUAUAUAUCUGUAUUUUUAUGUAAUAGGAGGCGGGGGAGGGCAUCAGGAAAACACUGGUUCCAUGCCUCCGGUGGCUCUACCUGCGCGUCAGGGGGUCUGAGGAGCAUCUGCCGCGUUCUCCCCAGCCCCUCUCCGGGUUUCAGGACAGCAGGCUUGGCCCUGGCUGUAUCUUUCAGCAUCCAAAAUAGAAAACAGAAAUCACGUUAGGUAUUUUGAAAGGCUGGAGAUUUGAUAUGGGGAGUUUGGCUGCCAGAUUGUUAUAAAGACUGGAAGAGCAAAGCAGGAAGGUGGUGGGUCCUGUAAUUCAAAGCUGCAGAAAGCUGCCGCCCCCCUCUACAGGAGCCAGAGCUCAGGUGAGCCCACUCCACUCCCCUGCUCUGCUGUUCAGCAGCCCUGAGAGCUCACGGUCAAGCUCAGGCCACCCAAGGCCAGAGCCUGCCCACCUGGAGAUGCUGGAGAUUGCAGCCAUUGGCACCGUAGCAGCUGGCAGGCACCCUCCACCAUCACUGAGCUGGAGUGCCUGAUGCUGUUGCUGAGACAAGGCCUGCCAGAAACAUAACAGCCUCCAUCUUUUCACUCCUUCUAGCUUCUGCAGAUGCCUCCAACUGUCAGACUUAAGUAGCAUUCAGCUGGUAACACAGUCUGAAAAAGGUGGUUUGCAAGCUUCCAGUCCUGGAGGUGAGAAGGAAAGGAAGGUAGACCAAGGCACAGAGAUUUCCUACAGAAUCUCUUCCAGAAGCUGAAACUGGCAAAUGUGAUGGAAUGUACUAGGAGGAAAGUCUUUGGCUGAAUGGGAAUGAAUCACUGAUGCUGUUGCUGUUCAGUCGAUAAGUCAGGUCCAACUCUUUGAGACCCAUGGACGGCAGGACACAGGCUUCCCCAUCCUUCGCAUCUCCCAGAGUUUGCUCAGAUUCGUGUCCAUUGAGUUGGUGAUGCCAUCCAGCCAUCUCGUCCUCUGCCACCCACUUCUCCUCCUGCCGUCAAUCAUUCCCAGCAUCAGGAUCUUUUUCGAUGAGUCGGCUCUUAGCAUCAGGAGGCCCAAGUACUGGAGUUUCAGCUUCAGCCACAGUCCUUUCAAUGAAUAUUCAGGGUUGAUUUCUUUAAGGAUUGACUGGUUUGAUUUUGCAAUCCAAGGGACUCUCCAGAGUCUGAGACUCUUAUCGAUAGUGACACAAUAGUCUUAUUAAUAGUGACACGGAAAACUAAGAGAGCAAUAACAAUGUGAAGAUACGUCAGCUAUGAACUCCAGGAGAAGCGAAAGGUUCGACGAUAAAGGAAAUAUAAUCACUGUGUGAAGAUACGUCAACUAUGAACUCCAGGAGAAGCGAAAGGUUCGACGAUAAAGGAAAUAUAAUCACUGUGUGAAGAUACGUCAACUAUGAACUCCAGGAGAAGCGAAAGGUUCGACGAUAAAGGAAAUAUAAUCACUGUGCUUGACUAGGUUCAACUGUGAAUUAUGCAUCUGUGGUCAGAAUAAUAUAAACUUCUAAUAUGAAUUUACCAAAAAAAAAAUAUAUAUAUAAUUGUAUUGGGAUGAUGGGGCAUGUGAAAUAGGCAGGUGUGAGUUUGAGCUCCAAAUCUUCAUCCCCCCAUGGUAGAAAUUCAACACAUGUAUUAAAACCUAGGAGAGAAAAGCAAGAUGUAGCAGUAUAAGGUGGUCAUGUGUGUGUUUGAAGCUUUGUCCUCAAGGAGACAACUGAAUAGUUAGAACAGGGAGUGGGAUCUAAAUGAGGGUGAGGCAAUGACACUGUCCUUUGGGGUGAUAAGCUCUUGGGAAUUAUAUCAUUUGUUUUCCUUUAAAAAACAAAAUGUAGCAUGUUUUUGAUUUCAUAUAUAAGGAAACCUCCCCACCCCCAACCCUUCACUUCUCAUAGAGUAUGCAUUGUACACACAAAUUUAUGGUAAUGAUGAAAAGAAAAUGCAAUUACUGUCAGAGUAAAGCAAUGCUUGACAGCCCUGAAUGGCAUGAUUUAUUUAUGGAAGGAAAGUUGACUGGGCAGGAACUAAUUAUUAUCUUUAACCAGUAUUCUUUACCAUAAAUUCAUAUCAGCUUAGUCGUACUUUGGGUGAGCAAUGGAGAUUCCAAAUAUGCAGCGUUCUGUUUCAGAUUACCUUGCCAUGACAAGAUUGUUAAUUAGGUAACUUUGAAAUCUAUGUUAAUUCUUUGACACUGAAUUUUAUCUGGAGGAUGACAUUUACCAAUCACCAAAUGUCUACCUCUUAUAAUCAGGUAGGUUCUAUUCUGGCCAAUAGGCUAUGCGUGGGAGUGAUUCGAGUCCCUUCUCAACGAAAGCACUUAGGAACCAGGGUUCAACUUGCCAGCCCUCUGUCCCCAACCUUGGUGAUUGUGGAGAAGAGCUUUCCAAGGUGGCGGCUGCCUCCUGGGUUGCUGAGUCAACCCGGGGCGGGUGGAUACCCUGAGAGUCUCUCAUCAUCUAGUGCCCCUUAAGUGAUUGAGAAAUAAGCUGUUACUGUUUUCACCCCUGAGAUUUCAGCAUGCAUGUGUUACUGAAACAGUCCAGUCUAUCUGACACAAUGUUCUUUGAUACACUGUUUAUAGAUAUCACUUUCUAAUCCACCAUCAUAAAUCCAUCACCCCAUGUAUUUAAGGCAUGUUUCUAAUGGGAGCAAUGGGUCUAGGCUGAGUCCCACGCACUCCCCGCAUCCCGCCCCCCUGAGGCUCCUAGGAUGACUUUCUUUAAGGUGGUAGCAGGAGGAGGAGGAGGAGGAGGAGGCAGGUGGUCACGUGACGAAUCUUGGGUUCGUGUGACAUUAACUCACCAAGGAGGGAACUGGGCCCAUAAAGGAGCAUCCCUUGUGUUCUAGCUGACAGCCCACCAAGGGAACAGAAUAAGAGGGGUUAGACUGUUUAGACUGAGUCAAACAUUUCAAUCAAUCAAUCAAUAAUAUUAAUUCAAAGCCUGCUAAGUUCAGCAUGUUGAGCCAAGCACAACAUCAGACUGAAAUGAAUGAGAGAUAAUGUUUGUUUCCCCCAACAGAGGAAAGAACUGCUGUGAGAAAGGAAUGCUCAAUGUUUCUGUAAAACAGCAUCUCAACAAAUACCCAACAAUAUACCUCAAAUUUCCACACCCCUGUAUUUUUAGCUAAUUUGCUUCUUGAUGCUUCAUCUCAAGUACAUUGUAACAGUCUGAUUGCAGAACCCAUGGCUCACCUGUUUCUUUUGGAUUUUUUUUUUUAACUUCUGCAGAAUCCAUGGUAGAACCUGGUUCUACUGAGCGCUUCCCAAUGGAGUGCAGUUUCAUCCUUGUGGGAGCUCAUGGAAGGGCAGGGCAGGAGUGGAAAUCUUGUUUAAAAAAAAUUUUUAAUGUAAUCCCAGGAGAUGGGGUGUGGGUGAAAUGGGGAAAGGGUGUUGAAAGGUACAAAUUUGGGGUUAUAAAAUAAAUAAGUCAUGGGGAUGUGAUGCA